rnacentral:rRNA from 1 species
AGCUCCAAUAGCGUAUAUUAAAGUUGUUGCAGUUAAAAAGCUCGUAGUUGGAUUUCUGAUAGAGGCCCUUGACCCGUAGACGUAUAUGUCUACGAGUGUCGGUGGGCCUCAGUCAUCCUUCUAGAAAUUGGCUCUGCCCUUCAUUGGGUUGGGGUCAGGAUCUAGAUCUUUUACUUUGAAAAAAUUAGAGUGUUUAAAGCAGGCUUACGCCUUGAAUACAUUAGCAUGGAAUAAUAACUUAGGACUUUGGUUCUAUUUUGUUGGUUUCUAGGGCCGAAGUAAUGAUUGAUAGGGAUAGUUGGGGGUGCUAGUAUUCAGCGGCCAGAGGUGAAAUUCUUGGAUUCGCUGAAGACUAACUUAUGCGAAAGCAUUCACCAAGGAUGUCUUCUUUAAUCAAGAA